GUAAAUUGCAAGUCCCUGACAUGCAGUCGAACGAUGAUCUCCAGCUUGCUGGGGGGAUUAGUGGCGAACGGGUGAGUAACACGUGAGUAACCUGCCCUUAACUCUGGGAUAAGCCUGGGAAACUGGGUCUAAUACCGGAUAUGACUCCUCAUCGCAUGGUGGGGGGUGGAAAGCUUUUGUGGUUUUGGAUGGACUCGCGGCCUAUCAGCUUGUUGGUGAGGUAAUGGCUCACCAAGGCGACGACGGGUAGCCGGCCUGAGAGGGUGACCGGCCACACUGGGACUGAGACACGGCCCAGACUCCUACGGGAGGCAGCAGUGGGGAAUAUUGCACAAUGGGCGCAAGCCUGAUGCAGCGACGCCGCGUGAGGGAUGACGGCCUUCGGGUUGUAAACCUCUUUCAGUAGGGAAGAAGCGAAAGUGACGGUACCUGCAGAAGAAGCGCCGGCUAACUACGUGCCAGCAGCCGCGGUAAUACGUAGGGCGCAAGCGUUAUCCGGAAUUAUUGGGCGUAAAGAGCUCGUAGGCGGUUUGUCGCGUCUGCCGUGAAAGUCCGGGGCUCAACUCCGGAUCUGCGGUGGGUACGGGCAGACUAGAGUGAUGUAGGGGAGACUGGAAUUCCUGGUGUAGCGGUGAAAUGCGCAGAUAUCAGGAGGAACACCGAUGGCGAAGGCAGGUCUCUGGGCAUUAACUGACGCUGAGGAGCGAAAGCAUGGGGAGCGAACAGGAUUAGAUACUCUUGUUUAUGGCAA
rnacentral:rRNA from 1 species